AUACGUAGGGGGCGAGCGUUGUCCGGAAUGAUUGGGCGUAAAGGGCGCGUAGGCGGCGCGGUAAGUCUGGAGUGAAAGCCCUGUUUUUAAGAUGGGAAUUGCUUUGGAUACUGUCGGGCUUGAGUGCGGGAGAGGUAAGUGGAAUUCCCAGUGUAGCGGUGAAAUGCGUAGAGAUUGGGAAGAACACCGGUGGCAAAGGCGCGUUUCUGGACUGUGUCUGACGCUCAGAGGCGAAAGCCAGGGUAGCGAGCGGAAUUAGAUACCCCGGUAGUCCUGGCCGUAAACGAUGGGUACUAGGUGUGGGGGGUAUCGACUCCUUCCGUGCCGGAGUUAACGCAAUAAGUACCCCGCCUGGGGAGUACGGCCGCAAGGUUGAAACUCAAAUGAAUUGACGGGG
rnacentral:rRNA from 1 species